rnacentral:lncRNA from 1 species
UCAUGUGUUCACAUCUUUCUUAAUACCUUGCCUUGACUUGUUCGGUUCUAGUGCAGAAAGGUCUAUGGUCAAUUGAUAUUUUGUGCUUCUACUACAGAAAGGUCUAUGGUAUAUUUUGUCUGUCCUUUUCAAGUAAAGAAAUCUAAAUGUUAUCUAUAUAAUACCUUGCCUUGUUUGGUUGUAUCGGUUAUACCUGUAUGUUGUCCAUUAGGUUUGAUAGUUAACAUACUUUAUGUAUGUCUGAACUUGUAAGUUGUAACCUUGUUCUCGAUAAGUGUUUUGUGUUCCUCUAUGAACUAUGGUUUGCGUGCUAAUAUUGAUAUGAUAUUUUCUUACAUACUUCAAACUUACUGGAUUAAUUCCCUCAGGUAUGACUUCCUGAACAGGUACUGAACUUGUAAGUUGUAACCUUGUCCAUCAACUGGUAUUUAUGGUAUGGAGUAUGGAGCUCUUUGUUGUUCUGGAGCAUGCUGGAUACCGCGUCCCCAACGAUGCCGAUGCAAGGCCUGUGUUGGGAUCCACCAAAGGGUGACCAAGGAAGAUGCCAUGAAAAAAAGAUUCCAUGAAGUGGUUCCAGGUCAAGUAUGAGUGUGUCAUCCUGAAGAAGUCCCAUGCUAGCUAGUAACCUUUCGAGUGAUUGAGUUGUUGUUAGAGUUUAAGUCAGUCAAACUUCAUCUGGAUCAUGGAAUCGUAUGUUUAUUGGUACAAAGCCGCACUACUAAUUUUGCCUCAUCUGUUGGGCUGACCUGCAU